rnacentral:rRNA from 1 species
GACGUAGGGCGCGAGCGUUGUCCGGAUUUAUUGGGCGUAAAGAGCGUGUAGGCGGCUUGGCAAGUCCGCUGUGAAAACUCGAGGCUUAACCUCGAGACGUCGGUGGAAACUGCCUGGCUAGAGUCCGGAAGAGGAGAGUGGAAUUCCUGGUGUAGCGGUGAAAUGCGCAGAUAUCAGGAAGAACACCCGUGGCUAAGGCGGCUCUCUAGUACGGUACUGACGCUGAGACGCGAAAGCGUGGGGAGCGAACAGG